UGAAGGUUGGACUCCAGCCUUUGAAACCUCUACCAGCAACACUGCGCCUGCGCACCACAAAGCCUCUCCUGACUGACGCUGCACUCUAACACACAAGACAGACUGGAGAAUGUCGGCGGCGUACAGAGAGAGACCCAACACAUCGAAUGCAGAGAUAAGUGAAAUAAAGCAACUUUAAAUCAA